UCUUGUCGCGGCGUUCUUCACCAAGGAUUUUCCACAUCAAAAGACCAAAAUAAAUUCCCAGCUGAACUUGGAAAGAGCUGAGGACAAAGAAACCCAGAAAGAAAUCUUCUUAGAUUCCCCCUAAUCUCUGUAAGUGGUUCUUUGGAUCCCUCGUCACAUGGCUUU
rnacentral:lncRNA from 1 species